CUUGGUGUCCCAGAUGGAGCUGGGGCUCCAGGGGCCCAGGGGGUGGCUCUGAUACCUAGGGAAAGGCACUGAGGAGGUGUCUGCCACUGGGCAGGGGCGUGUGAUCCAGGUCCGUUGGGGCAACGAGCCCAGCCUGAGUCCUGCGGGGCCCUAGGU